CCAAUGGUUUAAUGUUACUUCAGUAAUUUCAUCCUGAAUUUUAGGAUUUUUAUUUAGAUUUGAUUUUUUUCAGGAUGAAAAUAUUGAUGUAGCAUUAAACUAUUG
rnacentral:pre_miRNA from 1 species